UGAUCGUAGAAAAAUUACAAAAGUUUAAAGAGUUAAAAUUUAUGGACCUUCCAAAGAACUUGUAUGUAUUGAAGUGCAUGUAGCACCUAAAUCAGUUUUAUUUUCAUUCGCCUAUAGAUUUAAGUAUCCAACAUUUGUGGCGUUUUAGUAUGUUAUUAUCACUUAAUUGACGUUUCAUUCUAGCAAAGAAGUAAGCUAUGCAUAAAUAAGAGUUCAUGUAUAUUCUUUUGAUCAUGGCUUACAAAACAAUUAACUACAAUAAAGAUGUGGUAACUUUACAAGAAUAUUAUUAGAAAGAGUUACAUUUCUUAAAUUAUAGAUAACUAUGGAACCAUAAAGUGUUGCUCUUGGCGAAAAUAUAGGUGAAUAGUAAUGUGUUAUACUGAUGAAGAUUUAACAUUUGGUAAUUCGGCUAACUCUUAAAUUAGAUGGUACUUCAAAAAUAAAAUAUUCAUCAUUUGUCGUUCUAUUGUAUAUUGUUCAAUCUAAUAUGAGGCAUAUCAGUAAACAAGGGAUGCUGAAUAAGACCCAAAACAUCUCUUCUUUGAAUGUCAAUUGUCACAAAUGUGCUUAAAUGGGUUACUGCAGUGACUAGGUAUGAAGAGAAUAGAAACAUCUCAUCCUGGCAUAUGAUGAAGCGUGUUUAGAAAACUGAAACGAAGGCUUUGUAGAACCUUUGCACUUACUGUUCUAACUGCUUUGGUAUAUGGUAUUUGGAAUGCUAAGAAUAAUGCACUGUGGAAUCCAAAGUCCAACGAUCAGCUAUUAUAUGCUGCCAGAUUAAAAAGGGAUGUAAAUACAGAGUAUAUGGGGCAUAAAAUAGUACAGAGGUAUAAAAGACAGGAACGGAUAGAGAAGUUUUACAGCUGAGAUAAUACUGAAUAGAGGUAGAUAGGCGGAAUGCUUUGAAUAGUCCCUGCUAAUUAGACAUAGAGUUAUUAGUAGUGUGCCUAUGAGUUUUAUAAUUUGUUUAGUUGGUAAUUAAUAAAAUUUUCAUUUUUCCGCAAACAAAAUAAAAAAAAUUAUUUAAGGGGGCAAUUACCUUUGAUUCUGUCCCAUCUGUACUCUUAUGAAACAUAAUUAAAUCUUACUGUUUAAAAUGAUGACUCUGCAUUUUGUUAAAUUCGUCAUCUUUAAAUAAUUUUAUUCUACAAAUAAAUCUUCCAUCUUCAAUUACUUAAAUGAGAACAUAAAUAUAAAAUCUUUUUAAGGAUCAUCUAUUCUACCAUAGUCAAAUCUUAGAUGACACUUUCAUUUUAUUUUUUAUCAACUGUAAGUAGAAUUCACGAGUUAUUUACUCGGAUUUACACUUAAAAGGAUAAAUUACCUUUUUUAAAGCCGUGUAUUAUUUCAUUCAUAUAAUAUGAGUAAUCUCAAAAAUAUUUUGAUAAAUAUUAGUUCACUAUUCACCAUGCUUAAUGUUAAUUUAAUAGCAAAAUUUUUGUUGUUACUAAUACAAUGUUGUAAUUUUAUUUAUUAAGCAAGAUAGUUAUUAAAUAGACUUAGGUGAUGUAUUAUGCAAAAAAAAAAAAAAAUUGAACUUAAAUUAUACUAAACUAUAAGAGUUUUAUUAUUUUAGAUUUAAAAACACAUACACAAUCUAAAAGAUGACAGUAAAAUUUCAUAAAUAACUUUAUGGAUUCAUGAAUAAAUUCUAAAUUUUACUGUAAUUUAAGAUGGAAGAAACUUAAUAUGAUCAAGAAAAAAAAUAUUACUAAUUUUUUAUAAAUUUUAUUCUGAAAACUUUCCUCGCAUCACACGGGUAAUAUACUAGUUAUAAAGAUUUUAUAUUCAUGUUACCACUAAAUUAAUUUUGUUACCACUUACCAUCAAGAUAAUUGGAGUUCUUUAGUUUCUUUUUAAAUUCGUGCUCUUAUUGGAGUUCUCUUUUUAGGGAAGGCAACACACUUGCAGACUAUUUAGCUAACCAAUUUUUUUUUUUUUUUGCAGGCACAACAGAUAUCAUUUAUUUAGUUUCUCAAGAUUUACCGGAAAAAGGAAAAGCAAUACUAUACUUAGAUAAAACACAAAUCCUCAAUCGUAGAAUGCGAAAUAUUCAAAACAGGAAUUUCAAUACACAAGCGCAAAUGCGACACACAAAAGCAACAUCGGAGAUGGAUGGUAAAGAAAUAUCAAGAACAAGGCAAUAUUGAAAAAGAAAAAUUAGUACCCGCAAACUUGCAUGAGUGGAUGUAUAUUGUGUUAGAUUAGUUAUGCUGAGAUGACACUUAUUUGUUGCCUUCUUAUGUAGUGGUAUCAGCUUCUUUGGGGCUCAACCUGCAGAGAAGGUCAUGAAUGAGUAAAAUUGAUUCAUCAGAGACUUCAUCGGAGAGUUUGAUUCUCCGACCAUGGAGCAGCUUGAAGUGAACAAAGGAUUGGUUGCUGGAAUGAAUUUUGUGACCCUUCCUUUUUUUUUUAUUUUUUUUAUUUUUUUCUGAUAAUUCAUUUGUUUCCUAUUUCUAUUUUCGGGUUGGGUCACUUUUGGGAUUAUACCCUUGUAAAUAUUGAACCUCUUUCAUUUUCUAAUAAAUGGC
rnacentral:lncRNA from 1 species